UAGUGCUUUUAAUUCAACAGAUUCUCCAAAUGAGGCUGUUGUCAGCUCAAGUACCCCUUCUAUGGAAAGUGCUUUCUCACAAAUUUUGUCCAUGCGUGAGAUGCUUAAUCAGGUUCUGACUAUGCAAAAAGAAACACAAAAGCAGAUGGAAGUGAUGGUCGCUGUUCCAGUGACCAAAGAAGGAAGAAGACUUGAAGCUGCCUUGGGAAGGAGCAUGGAAAAAUCUGUCAAGGCCAAUUCUGAUGCUUUAUGGGCUCGUUUACAAGAAGAGAGUGCAAAACAGGAGAAGUCUCUCCGUGAUCGUACACAACAAAUAACCAAUUUGAUCUCUAACUGCUUAAAUAAGGACAUGCCAGGUCUGAUGGAAAAAUUAAUGAAGAAAGAGCUAGCAGCUGUUGGACAAGCUGUAGCACGCAGCAUUACCCCUGCUAUAGAGAAAACAAUAUCAUCUGCAAUUUUAGAGGCCUUCCAGAAAGGAGUUGGUGACAAGGCAGUGAACCAACUAGAGAAAGCAGUAAACUCCAAACUUGAAGCUACUGUAGCUAGACAAAUCCAAGCACAGUUCCAAACCUCUGGCAAGCAAGCUCUUCAGGAAACACUGAAAUCUACUCUGGAAGUCUCAGUGAUCCCUGCCUUCGAGAUGUCAUGCAAGGCAAUGUUUGAGCAAGUAAAUUCAACAUUUCAGAAAGGCAUUGCUGACCACACAGUUGCUGCACAACAGCAAUUUGAGUCCGUGCAUUCACCUUUGGCAAUCGCUCUGAGAGAUGCCAUCAAUUCAGCAUCGGCAAUGACACAGACACUGAGCGGAGAGCUUGCUGAUAGUCAGAGACAGUUGCUUGCUCUUGCAGUUUCUGGAGCAAAUUCCCAAUCAGCAAAUCCACUCAACCACAUGAAUAAUGGAUCAUUGCUACAUGAAAAGAUUGAGACACCUCCAGAUCCAACCAAAGAGAUAUCUAGACAGUUAGGGGAGCACAAGUAUGAGGAAGCAUUCACUGCAGCAUUACAAAUGAGUGAUGUGUCAAUUGUGUCAUGGUUAUGCUCUCAGGUUGAUUUGGCUGGGAUUUUAUCGUUGAAUCCCCUCCCUCUGAGCCAAGGAGUGCUCCUUUCCCUUCUUCAGCAGUUAUCGUGUGGUAUUAGCUCAGAGACGGUCCAAAAACUCUCUUGGAUGAGGGAUGUGCUCUCUGCCAUCAAUCCAAAUGACCCACUGAUUGUAGUGCAUGUUCGGCCCAUCUUUGAGCAAGUAUAUCAGAUGUUAGUACAACGCAGAAACGCUGCUACCACUCCUCCUGCUGAACUUUCAAUCAUUCGGCUUCUUGUGCAUGUUAUCAAUUCGAUGAUGAUGGCUGUUAAAUGAUGAUCCUAUUUGGUGAACGUAGUAAAAGCCCCCAAAUCCCAGUGGAUUUCAUGAAAAGGCUUCAAGUCUUACCCGACAAUUGAAGUGUACAGUGUACACCAACCUCCAAUUAUCUCUUCUCUCCUUUGGUUCAACUCUUUCUACAUAAAAUCUGUAAUCGUUUUGCCUAAAUUCUCAAGUUGUAGACACUUACUUAGCAAAAGAAAAACAAAAAGUAAUUUUCAAGUUGUAGAGUUUGGAUGUUGCAUAUUUACAGAAAUUUUGUGCUUGUACAUUGAUACUUUAUUAUACUCCAAUUUCAUUUCAAGUGGGAACAAG
rnacentral:misc_RNA from 1 species